GAUGAACGCUGGCGGCGUGCCUAAUACAUGCAAGUCGAGCGAACAGACGAGGAGCUUGCUCCUCUGACGUUAGCGGCGGACGGGUGAGUAACACGUGGAUAACCUACCUAUAAGACUGGGAUAACUUCGGGAAACCGGAGCUAAUACCGGAUAAUAUAUUGAACCGCAUGGUUCAAUAGUGAAAGACGGUUUUGCUGUCACUUAUAGAUGGAUCCGCGCCGCAUUAGCUAGUUGGUAAGGUAACGGCUUACCAAGGCAACGAUGCGUAGCCGACCUGAGAGGGUGAUCGGCCACACUGGAACUGAGACACGGUACAGACUCCUACGGGAGGCAGCAGUAGGGAAUCUUCCGCAAUGGGCGAAAGCCUGACGGAGCAACGCCGCGUGAGUGAAGAAGGUCUUCGGAUCGUAAAACUCUGUUAUUAGGGAAGAACAAAUGUGUAAGUAACUAUGCACGUCUUGACGGUACCUAAUCAGAAAGCCACGGCUAACUACGUG
rnacentral:rRNA from 1 species